rnacentral:pre_miRNA from 1 species
CGUGCACCGGUGGGGUCCCUCGGCCUGGCCUGCAUCCUCUUGCAAUCCGGGACCCCUCGGGGAUGUCAGACUGCUGGUUUCAGCCCAGUCCCUGCAGGCCAGGCCGAGGGACCCCACUGAUGCACG